ensembl:miRNA oni-mir-10684 oni-mir-10684
CAGUGAGCAUUGAUCAAUGGCCAUGCAAAUUCUCAUUACCAUUGAUCAACAACCACUGAU